UCUAAGGAGAACUGGUCACGUACUGCAAGGCAGUACCGAGAAAAGUGACCAUUAUCCCAGGUCAGCCCUUUCUUCUGGUCUUACAUUGUUUAAUUUUGAGGGUAUACCCCGUGGAGCCAUACGGCUUCGCGGCGGGAACUCUCGAUUUUUUCUGCACCUUGAAAACUGAACAGAGAGAAAGAAUGCGAAGCAAGGCAACAGAGGGCGUCGCACGUGAGAGCGUGUGACAAACAAAAGAAGCGAAGAACGAGAAAAUGUGGAACUUUAAUUAAUUAGGGUGAAACAGCAAUUUCAAGAACUUCCGAUGAAGUUGCCUGCAUAAUUCUAAAUGCUAAGAGAACCAAGCGAGAUCAUAACACAGCCGAGCGAAGCCCAGCGGAAGCGGGUUUGUGAGGCAGAGGAAGAAGCGGGGAGCGAAGCGAAGUCAAACGUCAGAAGCGGCACGCUGAUGACGGUAGACGGAGAGGAGCGUGCCGCUUCUGACGAGGUCAAGCUAAAAAGAGCGCAAGGGGAAUGCCUUGGCAUCAGGAGCCGACGAAGGACGUGACAAGCUGCGAUAAGCCACGGGGAGCCGCAAAUAGGCGUUAAUCCGUGGAUUUC
rnacentral:misc_RNA from 1 species